rnacentral:rRNA from 1 species
GACGAACGCUGGCGGCGUGCUUAACACAUGCAAGUCGAACGGAAAGGCCCUGCUUGCAGGGUACUCGAGUGGCGAACGGGUGAGUAACACGUGGGUGAUCUGCCCUGCACUUCGGGAUAAGCCUGGGAAACUGGGUCUAAUACCGGAGAGGAGCCAUUUUUAGUGUGAUGGUUGGAAAGUUUUUUUCGGUGUAGGAUGAGCUCGCGGCCUAUCAGCUUGUUGGUGGGGUAAUGGCCUACCAAGGCGGCGACGGGUAGCCGGCCUGAGAGGGUGGACGGCCACAUUGGGACUGAGAUACGGCCCAGACUCCUACGGGAGGGAGCAGUGGGGAAUAUUGCACAAUGGGCGCAAGCCUGAUGCAGCGACGCCGCGUGGGGGAUGACGGCCUUCGGGUUGGAAACUCCUUUCGCUAGGGACGAAGCUUUUUGUGACGGUACCUAGAUAAGAAGCACCGGCUAACUACGUG